rnacentral:lncRNA from 1 species
CUUGAAGGAAACCCACAAUUCCAAGAGAGGUUUUGCAGUUCCAAGCAAGGCUUCCGGCUAGCCCGGCUCCUCUGCUGUCUUAGUAACCGCCGGUGGUCCUCAUCUGCCACGGACCAGUUACCUAGCCCGCAGGUUUCCAUCGAGGUUCUCUUGCCGUCUUCGCCUUGCCCCGUCGGUAGCCGAGAAUCUCUCUUCGCCG